CCUACGGGAGGCUGCAGUGAGGAAUAUUGGUCAAUGGCCGUAAGGCUGAACCAGCCAAGUCGCGUGAAGGAAGAAGGAUCUAUGGUUUGUAAACUUCUUUUAUAGGGGAAUAAAGGUAUCCACGUGUGGAUCUUUGCAUGUACCCUAUGAAUAAGCAUCGGCUAACUCCGUGCCAGCAGCCGCGGUAAUACGGAGGAUGCGAGCGUUAUCCGGAUUUCUUGGGUUUAAAGGGUGCGUAGGGUGUUUUUUAAGUCAGCGGUGAAAGUUUGUGGCUCAACCAUAAAAUUGCCGUUGAUACUGGAAGUCUUGAGUGUGUUUGAGGUAGGCGGAAUGCGUGGUGUAGCGGUGAAAUGCAUAGAUAUCACGCAGAACUCCGAUUGCGAAGGCAGCUUACUAAGCCAUAACUGACACUGAAGCACGAAAGCGUGGGGAUCAAACAGGAUUAGAUACCCCGGUAGUC
rnacentral:rRNA from 1 species